UUCAUCGACAGCCAUUGACUUUAAUCGAGUUAUAAGUCUCUCAGGCCGAGGGGUAUUAAUAGUAGCAUCACUACAAUGGUUUAAAGAUGAUGUGAAAGUGAAAUUGUGAAAAUAUAUCGGGAGGGAUAAAUGAGAGAAGAGAAAAGAGAGAAAAGAAAAAGGUUUAUUAGAUCAUAUCCCUCUUAUUGUCAUGGUAACUCGUGGUAAUGGAUUCAUUUGAAUGGCACCCAAUUGAUUGGUUCAAAGUCAUCAUCGAUUGGAAGCGAUAAAGAUGAUGAGAUAUUUUUACAAAGACUCAAAGAUAAACUGAUUGCAGUUACUAAUUUACAACAAUCAUCUAAAUCAUCACCACAAAAUUUUCAACAACAAAGUGUUCCAAUUGAAAUGAUAAUGAUCUAACAGAGGAUCAAGGGCCAUCUCAGUAUCAAAAUCCUGUUGAUGCCAUAAGAGAGACAAUUAUAAAUACAAUUAUUCGUGAAGUUUCCAACAAUUUACCUGAAAUAAUGCGACAAACAACUGAGUUUUUCAGUCAAAUGAGAGCUGCAAUUGUACAAGCAUUUACUGAAUAUGCUGAACAAAAUCCAAAUUAUCUUAACGAGAGUUCUGUUAAUCGGACUUUGGGUGCACAGUUCAUUAAGAUAGUGGACAGUAUUGUCGAUGAUAAAGGUAACAGAUUCAAUGAGAGUCAAUCAUUGAAUUAUAUUCCUUAGCAAAUUUAUCAUCAUUUUGACUCUUCAAUACCAAAGGAAAAGACAAACAAAUAAUGAAAAUUUGUACCACAGUAUAAUCACAAAGAAAUCACUUCAUAAAUGUAGUACUACUAAUGAAUAUCACAAUAAAAUUGAUAAAACAGAGA